CAAUAGCGUAUAUUAAAGUUGUUGCGGCUAAAAAGCUCGUAGUUGGAUUUCUGUCAAGGACAACUGGUCCGCCCCUCGGGUGAGCACAUAGUUUGGUCUUGGCAUCUUGUUGGAAACUGUUGCUGCACUUGGUUGUGUGGCGCAGUGUCCAGCACUUUCACUUUGAGGAAAUUGGAGUGUUUCAAGCAGGCACAUGCCUUUGGACACAGUAGCAUGGAAUAAUUAGAUUGGGCUUUUGCUCCAACUUGUCGGUUUCUGGAGCUGAGGUGAGAAUUAAUGGGGAUUGUUGGGGGCAUCCGAAUUUAGCCGUCAGAGGUGAAAUUCUUGGAUCUGCUAAAGACGGACAACUGCGAAAGCGUUUGCCCAGGAUGUUUUCAUUGA
rnacentral:rRNA from 1 species